rnacentral:rRNA from 1 species
UACGGAGGGUGCGAGCGUUGUCCGGAAUCACUGGGCGUAAAGGGCGCGUAGGCGGCCUGAUAAGUAGGGGGUGAAAUCCUGCGGCUUAACCGCAGGGCUGCCUUCUAAACUGUCAGGCUGGAGCACAGUAGAGGCAGGUGGAAUUCCCGGUGUAGCGGUGGAAUGCGUAGAGAUCAGGCGGAACACCCGUGGCGAAGGCGGCCAGCUGGGCCGUCCCUGACGCUGAGGCGCGAAGGCGUGGGGAGCGAACGGG